rnacentral:lncRNA from 1 species
AAAAAAUGAUUAUUAUUUUUGAAUGACAUGCCGGAAAUCACCUAAUAUAUUUCAUUAUUACCAGGCGAAUAAGUAAAUAUUAGAAAUAUAACUGACCUCAUGCACUUUUUAUUGUCAUCUAACAACUGAAUUUUCUUUAAAGAAAAAACCGAUCAUCAACAAAAAAAACAAGUGUAUUUAUUAUCUAUCAUCCGAUAAUGACAUGAUAUAGAAAAUUAUACAAAGAAACCAGCGUCUACUGACUUCAUAUGAAGAGAUAAAUCAACCCAUGAAGUUGAAGGGGGAUUGGUAGGCAAAGAUACUCUGGAAAAAGGUAAAAUAAAAUUACAAAAAGUUAUUUUAGAAUAAUAUCACAAAUGCAAAUAUUUAAAUCAGUUUACCACUACUCAUUGUUCAUCAACACCAUCAUCGACAUCCAACGUCGUUGAUCCCAAAUUCACAUCCAUGAUUCCACAUCCUACAAAAUGUGCAUUCAAGUUAAAAUUUUAUAAUUUAUUGUUGACCAUUAAUUAUAUACAGUUAGGAACUUUGGAUCAAUCCCUUCCAACAUGCAAUUGAGCAAUCUAGACAACAUAUCUCCCCUUAGUAUAUGGCAGUCUUCAGAACAUGCAUGAUACACACUGAUAGUACAAGGUCCAACACACAGACCAUAGUACUAAAAGACGUAUCCCAAGGUAUCUAAUACGCAGAGGAAGGGGGAGUACUGGUGAUACAGUAUCCCGAACCCAGUCAUAACCUACCAGCAACUAGAAGUCCGGAUAGCUAAGAUGAGUUAAGGUGCCUAUUCUAGGGUUGGGGAGGUCCCAAGUCGAAUCCUAGGAAGAUCGACUUUCCUGAGGAUCGACUUCCCUGGGAUCGACUUCUGAAUAAAGUCGAUCACCAGGAAAGUCGACUCCCAGAAAGUCGAUCUCUGGAAAGUCGAUCUCUGGCCCCAAUCUGAUCAGUUAGGCAGUUAGGCGGUUACUGUCCAAAUAACCAGAUUACCCCCAUAAGAACCCCUAUAAAUAGGAGGCAUCCCCCACUCAUUAAAGGCAGGUCAUUUAGAGCGAAAGGAUUCCUAGCGAAGCAGAGCUCUGCGCACUUGAGUUCCGGUCCGGUUUCCCGCGGAGUUCCCCGCUUGGCGCUUGCUUGCGCGUCUUGGAGUACUGGUCGGGUUUCACCCCCAUCAGUUGGCGCCGUCUGUGAUUCAAAGAUACUCACGACAAAAGCUCCUCGACUUCUUCGAAAAAAGGGAUCGACUUUUUUCCAAGUCGCCAGCUAGGAAGUUUUGCGAGGAAAUCAGCCAGCAAGGGAUCGACAUUUCAGGAGAUCGACUUUUUCUUCCGAAGAAAAGUCGACCCCUCAAGGAGCUAGGCUUUCGAACAUCGGCUUCCAAGGAAUCCUCCAAGUGCACUAGGGAUCGACUUCUUGAAGAUCGACUUUCCUCUCCAGGCAAAAGUCGAACACUCCUUCCAGGAAAAGUCGAACACUCCAGGAUGGUGGUAACUCGAAGCACUUCUCAAGGAGGAGGAGCGAAUUCUCAGGAGGCGCCAGGGCAACAACCUGGCAACUCAAAAACUAAAAGGCCAGUAGGUCGACCACCUAAGGCCAAUAAAAACAAAAGGACUCCCACAGGACCUGAGACUGAACCCGAAGGGGAACUUGGGCAAACUCCCCAAGCGUCAGCAGGAGGGGAAAAUCUGAACAUCACAGUUCAGGCGAUAGCAGAUGCUAUCCGACUCAUCACUGAAAAACCUUCGGAAGAACAGCCUCAAAGGGAGAAACCCACAAGCAGCAGGGGACCAAGGACUGCUGCAUCAGAAUCCACUCAUGGGUUCAUAAAAGUACCCAUAGAAGAGCUAGAGGAAAUGAAGGAAACCAUAGCAAAAAUGAGCGAGAAGAUAAAGGAUAUUGAAAAAUCUAGGGUAUCAAUAUACCAUACAAAAGCUCAAACCUCAAAGCAGGCCAAGGCACAGCAGGAGGUGUCAAGCCAUAGGGCAGCACACUCCAGCGCACCACUACCUAACAAACUAGAGGGGCAACUCAAACCCUCUUUCAGAAAACCCGUACAGGAAGAAAGUACGGGAGACACAGAAGAAGGAGGUGAGGUCCCAAAUUGGCUGGUAGGCAUGGAUGCUUUGCACAAAUCACUGAUGGUAAAACCAGCACCCCUAAAGUUUAGGCUACCCAGGCUCCAGGUUUACGAUGGGAAAAUGGACCCAGCAGACCACAUAAAUAUGUUCGUAGGGGCAAUGCAGUGGGCCACAUCAAGGGAUGACAUUCUCUGCAGAGCAUUCCCAGGAACACUGAAGGGACCUACAUAUAGGUGGUUCGUCGAACUUCAGCCAGGGAGCAUAACGAAUUUCGAGGACUUGAAAAAGAAAUUCGUCGCCCAACACUGCGGAAACACAAGGGUAAGGAAGGGCACAGAAUCACUGUUUGCAAUCAAACAAAAUGGAGAAACGCUCCGGAAUUAUACAACCAAAUUCACGGAAGCAAUGCAGAAAAUCUCCGAUCUAAACACAACAAUCGCAAUAUGCGCAUAUUCAAAAGGGCUAGACAUGAACACGCCAUUAGCAAUAAAACUAAACGUAAGUAAUGUAAAAUGCAUGGAGGACCUGCUAACAAAGGCCCAAAAAUACAUAAACUCUGAGGAGAAUGAGAAAGAAAAAGAAAAAGAGAGAGGUGUCAUAAGCAACAAAAAAGCGUAUGAAGCACCAAAGAAAAAAUAUCAGAAAUUUGAAAAAGGAGAAUCAUCUUGGAGACCAAAACACGAUGGAAAGGUCUACCAGACAUCUGAGGAGUUUAGAAAACCAAAAUACCCAAGGUAUGGGUUUACGGCUUUCAGCACUCCAAAGGAGGAAAUCUACAGCAAAGAAAAAGGAAGAAUAAGGUUUCCUCAACCAGAAGAAUUAAACCCUGCAACAAAAGAGGCCUGAACAAGGGGGAACAAAUAUUGUAGGUUCCACAAGGACUACGGGCACAAUACAGAAAAUUGCAGGGAGCUGAGCACCUUCCUAGACACACAGGUAAAGGAGGGGAAGCUUAAACAAUACGUAAACAAAGUAGAAAGGGAGCAACAAGGUCGCAGGAACCCAAGUAACAAGGGUAAGCGACAGCGCUCAAAAAGUCCCGACUCAGAUACUGAACAUAAGAGGAGGGUAAUAGAUUAAAUCUUCGGCGGGGGAUCAAUAGGAGAAAGCAGAGCUUCUCUGAGGAAGAUCCGGCCCACACCUAAUUACGCAAGGCAGAACAAUUAAUCAUAUUCACCCUUGCGGUAUUCACAUGGAAUAUAGGGCAGAUUUAAAAGGGUCAAAAACAUCUCAGCUAAUACCCCCAGAGGGGGGGGCAGAGAGAGGCACUAGUUGACUCAUCAUCUAUAUCUCCGUGCAAUCCGAACAUAACACAGGCAGAAUACUGGAAAAAACCCUCAAUAGAAUACAUUGAAAGGUAGGAACUCCCAGAGAACAGGAAUAAAAGGCGUAAACACGCAUUCCAAGAUACUGCCUAGUUGAUAACAUUCAGCAUAAGAAACCUUGCAUCAAGGGAUAUGCAAAAUACAUCAAGGGGGGAGGACCCUAGCCCAAAGAAUAACAAGGUAGAGGCACUUCCGGCCUACACUAAAGAAAGAGGCAAUCUUACCUGCAAGAAAAUGCAAGGUAUGCCAGAUUCACAAAAACAUACGACUAAUAGGGAUAGUAAGCCUCAUCCCUUUCGCAACAUAAGGGAUAAACAGUGUAGGCUAAAUUUAUAUUUAUAGCUGUCGACUACUUUACUGAAUGGGCUAAAGCACUAGCUGUACCCAAAAUAACUCAAGUAAAGUGCAGAUUCGAUAUUCCAAUGCAUAUAGUGACAGAUAACGGUACAUAGUUUACCGGUGGGGAGUUUACGAGAUUAUGCAAGAACAUGGGCAUAUAGAACCACUGAAAAGACACCCACCAAAGAAACCCCGUUCUCACUAGCAUAUGGAAUAAAAGCACUAAUCCCAACAGAGCUAGGCAUUCCAACAGUCAGAAUAUUAUCCUAUGAUACGGAAGAACGUAGUGUUAGACGGGGAACACGUUGGCAAGAGUAAACCUCACCUACGGAAGAACGUAGUGUUAGACGAGGGACGUACUCCAAAGUGAACCCCACCUACGGAAGAAAACAUGAGAUCAUGUGCGAUAACUCUGGACUUAGUGGAUGAGCUUAGGGGUAACGUACAGGCAAAGAAUACAGCUUAUAAACAAAGUAUCGCUAGAUACCACGACAAGAAUGUCAAGGGUAAAGCGAUAAGAAAAGGAAGUCUAGUAUGAAGAAGAGCAAGUGUCGGUAGAAAAGACUGCUCUAAAGGCAAACUAGGCACAAAUUGGGAAGGACCAUGUGUGGUGGAGGAAGAACUCCGACCAGACACGUACAGGUUAAAGCGGGAAGAUGGAACAGGCAUUCCUAAUACUUGGCACGCAGAUAACCUACUGUUGUACUUUUAAAAACAAUUAAGUAGGGUUAUACUCUUGUAAUAGUUUGAACUAUAUAACUAAUACGUUAUUUAGUUAACUAUCAGAACACUUUAAAAUACAACAGUUAACUAUUGUUAGUAAUAAGAAUACUCAAAAAACAUUCCAUAUAUUGAUUUAAAAAAGAAUUACAGAGGAAUGUAAGUUACAACAAAAAGUAGAGAACUUAAUCUAUUUUAGGAAGGGGGGGAAUGUCUUCAGAACCCGCUGCAUCAUUGUUAUCUAUAGAAAAGUCUGUAUCAAUGUCAGCAAGCGCCUGUAGAAUCUCCUCCUCUUCAUUCUCUCUCUCCUCCUCAUCCCUUUCCUCUGCAAGCGCCCGAUCACGAACUUCGGUGGCUUCUUUGGGAUUCUUACAGGCCCAGUCAUGAACAUCUGCGGCUUCAAAGCCCGGGCAAACAUGAGGGCCCAGAUCAACCAAGUCAUUAUAAUCUCGUAGAUUGACGAGAAAAUCGGCUUGGAGUGUCUCCAAGUGGGUGACCACACGUUGACGCUCUUCAAUUGCAAGUCGAGCUUCCUCAGUUGCGCGGUGAGCUUCCGCAGUUACACGGUUGACCACCUCAGUCUUUGCUUGAUCCGCUUCUUCCAGUCGCAUUAUCGUCUUCUUGUAUUCAUCUUGCGACUCCAGCAGCUUCUUGUUCUCCUCAUGAAUCUCUCCCAGUUGGUCGGAGAGUGUGGAGAUCUUUUUCCGAGAAGAAUCAAGGUUAACAUCUUUGUCAGCAAUCAUCGAGUCUUUGAUAAUAACCUUAGCGCGUUCAGCUGCAAGUUCCAACCUCGCAGCUCCCAACUCUCCCCUAAGUUGGGAGAUGUCCUGCUCUUUUUGUUUCAGAGAAUUUCGUUGAGCAGCCCAGUCAUCAGCCAACUUCUUAUUUGUUUCAGACAAGGUCGAGGCGUCUGUAAUCUUCUGUGCAACCUCACCUUCCAGAUCUCGGCAUCGGCGCUUCGCUCUUUUCAACUCGUCUUCCAUGGACUGAGAGUCACGAAGACGAGACAGAGAAGCGAUGCGGCCCUGGAACAAAUGGUUGAGCUGCAAAAAAUAAAUAAAUAAGGACACGCUCAUAAAAAAUAAUUAAAAGAUAAAGGACACUCACGUUGCUUAAAUUUUGUCCAAUCUCUUCAACAACCCGGUCCAUCGGAUACCCAGAGAUAGCUCGCAGUGUGGUACGGGUAGUAUCCGUAUCGGGGGUCAGGGAAGAUUUGGACCCAUAGUUUCGGGGACGCGAUCCUUGAUACCCCGGCAGCUGCGUCUCCCGGGUGGAAGAAUAGUUAAAACGACCCCGGGAGGACUCCCCAGGAUAGUAGGUCUUCUUGCGAAGAGGACUUCGUCGCUUGGGGGAGGGUCUCCUCUUCCUCGGAGGAGACGAGUCAGUCCUGGGGGGAGGAGGAGUUCGUUCCUUUCUUUUCCUCCUAUCAGAGAUCUCUCUCUCUGUAGUUUUCUCAGUCCGCUUAGACUGAGUCUCUUUCUCCUUCUCCGCCUUCUCUCGUUCUUCCUCUGACGGAGUACGGAAGAAGCUAGAAAGCCUCGAGGCAGCAGGAGACUGCUCGGGAGUAGCGUCUUUUGGUACCUCCCCUUCCUCGGUACAUCGGACCUCGUCAGGAGUAGGAAACGUCGCCAUUGUGUAGGCGUUCUCUAGCGCACGCUGCCUCAGAUGAUCAGCGUCAGAAGGUUUGGAGGCAGCGGCAUAGAGUUUAGAACCCGUCUCGUUCUGUCCGACGCGUUCAGGGACACCUCCGGGGUGAUGCAUAUAAAAAUCUGCAAGAAACAAAAACAGAGUUAAAAAAUAUACGUGUAUAAAAAACACAAAAGGUAAACAGACAAAGGAAGACCUUGUCGGCUAAAGGUAUCCUCAAUCGCGUGACAGACAGGCACAGCAAUAGGAUGCAAAAAGGCGAGAUUUUGCACAGAAGCUCCCUCUUCCUCAGUCAAAUCAGGACGAGGAAUAGGCUUACGGCCACUAGUGGAUGCAGGGAGAAGUCUGCUACCAGGGCAUAACCUGCAAUCCACGAAGAUGAACUCACUCUUGUUCCGCCUGGUCGGAGGAUCUUUCAAGAUAGCAGAGUGAGUGACAGAAGUAGAACGGCUGGCACAGGAAAUGAAAAGGCUGCCCUUCUUCGGAUUUUGAAAGAUGAAGAAGUGGAAGAACAGCCGAGCGGUAGGAACUAUGCCAGCAUCCCGAAGGAUAUUUAUGAACCCCCUGACAUAGAAAAAGAAGGCAGCACCCAUUUGAGAGAUGCACGUUCCAGAGUAAAGAAGUAUCUCACUAACGAUAGAAGGGAUCGGAAGAAUCGGAAAGUUGGUGAAAUACACUCGAUGGAGUGCCAACAUGAAGUAGGGGGGCACGUCGCCAGUGUUCUCAGAGGGGUACGCCCAGUACACCCUCUCCCUAAGCUCUAACCCCCUCAAAAUUUUUCGGGCAGCAUCCAAGGAUAAGGUAUUAGAGCAGCUACCUGCGUUAGAAGAAAGGGGGUAGCCCGGAAUAUCAGUCAAAGAGACUGCACAAAAGGAACCAUACCCGGUUCCAUAUUCGCCCCGGUCAAGGAUAGGGACGACGUGGAAACCGUUACGGACAAGAACGGACCACUGACGCCAAGAACCAUCAAUCUCCCGAUAGAAAGAUAGGGCGUGCUUCUCUUCAAGGGGAGAAGGAAAGGGGUAUUUGUCCCUCGUCUCAGGGGGAUAAUCCAAGGGAGACCUCUCUAAAAUAUGAAUAUUUUGACUACGAACCUCGGGAGGAGGUGGAAUGGAACUGUCCGUAGUCAUAGAAAAAACCUCCGAAGUAGGAGUCUCCUCAGGAACAGAAGUCAAUAUAAUAGUGGGAGGAGGAGUCCUAACAACGGAGGGAGGGGUUCCUCCAAUAUCUACAUCCUCUGAGGAAGAAGAAUAAGAGGAGGAACCCGAGCUUCCCGAACCAGAUGUGGAACACUCCGAACUGGAAUGUACGGGGGAAGAAGGGGGAGCACCUACAAACAAAAAAGGAACAAAUAAAAAGUAAGUAAGUUACGAAAUAAAUAAUAAAUAAUCAAACUUACUAGCAGGUACAGGCUUGCGCAUACGACGGGAAAGCAUCUUUUUCUUACUUCCGACAGGUGCGGAAGGAGCAACCUGAACCUGAACAGGAGCAGCCUGAACAGACUCUGGUUGAGUAGGAGCAUCCUGAACCUCGACGGGAACAGACUCCGAUUGAGAAGGAGCAUCCUGAACGUCGACGGUAACAGUCUCCAGUUGAGGAGAAGAAUUUUGCUGUGCGUUCUUAUCAGAAGACAUUAUCUGCACAAAGAACAUAGAAGUCAGGCCAAGUUAAGGCAAAAGUCGAUCCCAAGAAAAGUCGACCUGGACUUAAGGGGAUCGAAAUUGCAAAAUAAGGGAAGUCGAUCUCAGAAG